rnacentral:lncRNA from 1 species
GCCUGGUGCUGCUGGAGCAAUGAACUUCCAGGGCUGGCACUGGGAGCCCUCACCUUGGCCAGAGCAGGUCCCAUUGAUGGGGCUGGUGCCUCUUGGUGGUGGAACAUAGUUAGUGCCAAGAGGUCGCGAUGGCAGACAAGCAGGAUCCUACUGCAGCUGGGGAGAAAGACUUGUGUUAGGGGAUUGGAAGUGGAGAGACUUCACAGGGAACAGCCAGAGUAAAUGUACGCUGCGUCUCGUGCAGCCUGCUGGCUGGGUGAGAGAUUCCGUCUGUUCCCUCCAGUUUCUGUUUUUCUCCUGAGCUCACUUUUGGAUGGCUCUUGGCCUCCUUUCAUAAACUUGGCUGGAGGAAAGUCUGUGAAAACAAUGAAACAUUAGCACCCAAGGAGAGUCCUCGCUGCCAUUCACAGCUCUGCUUUGAUGAUUUGCCUGGUAGCACGUGUGUGGAGGAUUACGGGCGACACCACAAAGGUGCUGCUGAAGAGAGGCUGUGCCAUUUUCUUUCCUGCUGCAUGGGAUCAGCAGCCCCUGGCUGGCUGCAGCUGUACGGAUCACAGCACAGCUGGGUCUUGGUUUCACCUGCUCCAUCCCAGGCUGCACACUGCGAGAGGGCACUGACGGAGGUGGGAUUACAGCAGCCUGACAGACCACACUCGUGCUGGGGAAGAAAAAUGGCUGCCCACUCUUCUCUGCCUGGAUCCAUGGACCUUUCCCACUUCGUUGCUGAAGAAGCAGGAAUAAGAAAGGGGAGGGAAAAGAAGACAUUAGGAAAUCCAAGUGGAAAUGAAAAUAAAAAAUGGGUAGGAUUCAGCUGCCUAACCGUAGGCAAGGAGAGAUAUAUGAGAUACUUCAGGAUUCCCUUCAGCGGCAGCUUUACAAAGGCACGGUAUCUGUUAGGUCCUCUGUCAUGUCCGCAGCUGUGUGCAGAUGCUGUGGAUGCUCCAGCACUUCUAAUGGGCAGCAGGAUUUGAGCAGCAAAACCUUCUUGGAAUAAAACAGAAAUUUUCUAACA